rnacentral:pre_miRNA from 1 species
AAAGUACUCCCUCCGUCCCAAAAUUCUUGUAUUAGAUUUGUCUAGAUACGGAUGUAUCAAGUCACAUUUUAGUAUUAGAUACAUUCGUAUCUAGACAAAUCUAAGACAAGAAAUUUGGGACAGAGGGAGUAGUUG